rnacentral:rRNA from 1 species
ACUCGCAAGAGCCUCGCGCGAUUGGAGCGGCCGAUGGCAGAUUAGGUAGUUGGUGGGGUAAAGGCUCACCAAGCCUGCGAUCUGUAGCUGGUCUGAGAGGACGACCAGCCACACUGGGACUGAGACACGGCCCAGACUCCUACGGGAGGCAGCAGUGGGGAAUUUUGGACAAUGGGCGAAAGCCUGAUCCAGCCAUUCCGCGUGCAGGAUGAAGGCCCUCGGGUUGUAAACUGCUUUUGUACGGAACGAAACGGCCUUUUCUAAUACAGAGGGCUAAUGACGGUACCGUAAGAAUAAGCACCGGCUAACUACGUG